rnacentral:misc_RNA from 1 species
GAUGAAGAACGCAGUGAAAUGCGAUAAGUAAUGUGAAUUGCAGAAUUCAGUGAAUCAUCGAAUCUUUGAACGCACAUUGCGCCCCCUGGUAUUCCGGGGGUCAUGCCUGUCCGAGCGUCAUUGCUGCCCUCAAGCACGGCUUGUGUGUUGGGCCUCCGUCCUCCUCCCGGGGGACGGGCCCGAAAGGCAGCGGCGGCACCGCGUCCGGUCCUCGAGCGUAUGGGGCUUCGUCACCCGCUCUUGUAGGCCCGGCCGGCGCUUGCCGACACAUCAAUCUUUUUUCCAGGUUGACCUCGGAUCAGGUAGGGAUACCCGCUGAACUUAAGCAUAUCAAUAAGCGGAGGA